AUUGAACGCUGGCGGCAGGCCUAACACAUGCAAGUCGAGCGAGCGGCGGACGGGAGAGUAAUGUAUGGGGAUCUGCCUGAUAGAGAGGGAUAAUUACAGGAAACAGUAGCUACUACCGCACACCCUCAGAUGCACCCAAAUGGGAUUAGCUAGUAGGGAAGGUAACGGCUGACAUAGGCGACCAUCCCUAGCUGGUCUGAGAGGAUGAACAGCCACACUGGAACUGAGACACGGCCCAGAUUCCUACGGGAGGCAGCAGUGGGGAAGAUUGAAAAAUGGGCGCAAGCCUGAUGCAGCCAUGCCGCGUGGAUGAAGAAGGCCUUCGGGUUGUAAAGCACUUUCAGUCGGGAGGCGUUACCGACAGAAGAAGCACCGGCUAACUCCGGGCCAGCAGCCGCGGUAAUUC
rnacentral:rRNA from 1 species